rnacentral:rRNA from 1 species
GAUGAACGCUGACAGAAUGCUUAACACAUGCAAGUCUUUGGCGAAGCUGUGCUUGCACAGCCUAGCCAAGGCGGACGGGUGAGUAACGCGUAAGGAACUUGCCCUGCAGUCAGGGAUAACAGGCGGAAACGACUGAUAAGACCUGGUAAAGUCAGGCGGACUCAUGUCCAGCCUGAUGAAAAGUGAUGCUGCAGGAGAGCCUUGCGUCCUAUUAGCUUGUUGGUGGGGUAACGGCCCACCAAGGCGAUGAUAGGUAGCCGGCCUGAGAGGGUGGACGGCCACAAGGGGACUGAGAUACGGCCCUUACUCCUACGGGAGGCAGCAGUGGGGAAUAUUGGACAAUGGGGGCAACCCUGAUCCAGCAAUUCUGUGUGCACGAUGAAGGUUUUCGGAUUGUAAAGUGCUUUCAGCAGGGAAGAAAAAAAUGACGGUACCUGCAGAAGAAGCGACGGCUAAAUACGUG